CUGCACGCAUCCGCUACACGCGACCUGCUCGACGCUACGAACCCCAUCGAGCUCGAACAUGUUGCGCCUCAGGUCUCAGGCCGGUAAAAAGUGAAAUUUUCUCCCCACCACAACCUGGCCUGGUGGGAGCUUCGAACAUGCCUGUUUGCCUGUUGCGCGUUGCAAGAGAUCACAUUGCCGUGUUGAGUAAUCAGCAAUCUGGAAAUCGUUCUGAGCCUGCACAUUUGAAACUAGAACGUGAUUGCCGCACAAACAGUGGCGGGGCGGGAGGGAGCUGGGCGGCCAUCGCUCUUGACUCGAGCCCCAACCAGCAUAAGCUGGUCUGGGGCCUGUGGUGACGUAAGCGUCUUACAAAAAAAAAUUUGGAGAGUAAACACAUUAUUAAUAAUCGAGAAUGGCAUUACAUACAGGGGUACCAGGUGGAGUUAUUUUACAAUGGUGAUCGACUUUGAUAAUGCAUCUGAACCCAGAAAACCCUAGGCGUUCCAAUGGAUCACGUGGCUUUGAAACUUUGGAUAUUUACAAGCGAGUCUCCCUCCGAUAAGUAAAUUUUUCCAUGACGUUCGGACGCCAUGACCUCUACAAACACGUCAACGGAUUUUCUGGGCACAUGCUUCUCUUGGUUGGAGAUUCCGAUUUCUAUUCUGGCCUGGUCUGGUCUGGUCUGGCCUGGCCUGUCUGUGCAACGUGAGGAAACAUGCCAUUUGAUUACCACAGCAACGCUGGACGCACGUCAUCUUGCCCCCCGCCGAAAAUCUCCAACUACAGACCCCUGCCCCCCUCCCCCAACAGUGGAAAACCCCAUUUUCUAACUGUUACGCUGGCACACAGACCCCAAAUGCAACAUGUUCGAUGCGAUGACGGCGGCAGCGCUGCUGGAAAAACGUGAGCCGCAAACGUGACAGCGGUUCGAUGCGAUUGCUGGCUGGCCUACUGACGGGGCUCGAUGGUCUCACCUGCGGGGGCGAGCGGGCUGGAUGGGCGGGUAGGUGGUGCUUACACCAUUCGAACGAUAAACAUUGUAUGGCCCAGGCACGUUGCCUCCGGCAAUCAGUUGCAGGUGAACCUCUAGGCCGGAGGAGCAAUGGGGUGGCGGGUGCGUCUCUCAAAACGAGCACUCGAAAGUCACAUUACUCGCUGUGCCUAUUACAUGACACACAAACAACGGAGGCGGCGAGCGCCCCAGACGACGGGGAGUAACAAUUGUUUGGACUUAGCCGUGGCAAUCAGCCGGACACCUGUAAGCGGCAACGUGAUGAAAAGCGUGCCCGCGAAUCAUCAUCGUCGAAGGCGACUAGAGGCUGUUUAGGGGUUAACCGCAUUUAAUUGAUUUGGAAAUGUUUAGCGGCUAUUUCUCUGUAUUUCUAGUAACUGGAAGAUCAUUUAUUAAUAGAAUAAAAAUCCCUAAUCCCAUUAGACAUCUUUAAAGUUAUUUAUUUAAGAAAUUAAGGACAUUAUCCCCCCAUAUUUUAAGGUGUGAGAAGACACUAAUUUCUAGAACUGGUGCGGGGGUGGCAGAGCCGCCAACGUCGGCGUGGCGUCCGCGUCGGCGUUGGCCGCGUAAUGAGUGCAAAUGUGAAUGAACUUCCCGCAGACGCACACGCAGCACCAUCAGCUUCUCUCCGUCCCUGCCCCCCCAGUAACUGUCCGAAAAAAAUCUCGGAAACAACAGUGGCAACAAUAUGCUGGCUUUUGACUGACGAAGCUUACAACUUUCACACCGCACAACAUCGAAACGUCUCGCAAACACACACUCAUACACGAGAAAGGCCCCAGAGGCCAAGUCUUCUACGUAUCCCCCCUUAAUUUAUACCUAUGGAGGUA
rnacentral:sRNA from 1 species